rnacentral:rRNA from 1 species
AAGUCGUAACAAGGUUUCCGUAGGUGAACCUGCGGAAGGAUCAUUACCGAGUGCGGGCCCUCUGGGUCCAACCUCCCACCCGUGUCUACCGUACCUUGUUGCUUCGGCGGGCCCGCCGUUCUGGCCGCCGGGGGGCGUCUCGCCCCCGGGCCCGUGCCCGCCGAAGACCCAUUCGAACGCUGUCUGAAGGUUGCAGUCUGAGUGGAUUAGCUAAAUCAGUUAAAACUUUCAACAACGGAUCUCUUGGUUCCGGCAUCGAUGAAGAACGCCGCGAAAUGCGAUAAAUAAUGCGAAUUGCAGAAUUCAGUGAAUCAUCGAGUCUUUGAACGCACAUUGCGCCCCCUGGUAUUCCGGGGGGCAUGCCUGUCCGAGCGUCAUUGCUGCCCUCAAGCACGGCUUGUGUGUUGGGCCGCCGUCCCCCGCUCCCGGGGGACGGGCCCGAAAGGCAGCGGCGGCACCGCGUCCGGUCCUCGAGCGUAUGGGGCUUUGUCACCCGCUCUGUAGGCCCGGCCGGCGCCUGCCGACGACCAAUCAUCCUUUUUCCAGGUUGACCUCGGAUCAGGUAGGGAUACCCGCUGAACUUAA